GUAGGUGGCAGGCGUUGUCCGGAAUUAUUGGGCGUAAAGCGCGCGCAGGCGGUUCUUUAAGUCUGAUGUGAAAGCCCACGGCUCAACCGUGGAGGGUCAUUGGAAACUGGAGAACUUGAGUACAGAAGAGGAAAGCGGAAUUCCACGUGUAGCGGUGAAAUGCGUAGAGAUGUGGAGGAACACCAGUGGCGAAGGCGGCUUUCUGGUCUGUAACUGACGCUGAGGCGCGAAAGCGUGGGGAGCAAACAGGAUUAGAUACCCUGGUAGUCCACGCCGUAAACGAUGAGUGCUAAGUGUUAGGGGGUUUCCGCCCCCCUUAGUGCUGCAGCUAACGCAUUAAGCACUCCGCCUGGGAUACGGCCGCAAGGCUG
rnacentral:rRNA from 1 species